rnacentral:lncRNA from 1 species
CUAAAUUGAUUGGAAUCGAUUGAGAUUGAAUUAUCGAUUGGUGAAUGGCCAAGUAUGUUUAUUCAGCAUUUAUAAUGCUUUGUUGAGUUAAUUUAAUUAUUUGAUUGAGUAUUGAUUGGUGAAUGGCCAAGUAUGUUUAUUCAGCAUUUAUAGUGCUUUGUUGAGUUGUAAAGGGAGUAGAAUGAUGAGAGUGAAUCAGAAGUACUCUGGGAUUGAACCAAUCAGACACGGUGUAUGGACCUACGUGGUUCGGUGAUUGGGACAUCACUGGCGAAAACGGCGCCUUAAAGAACGCACGUAUCGGUCUAGUACAUACAUUAUUAUGGACCUACGUGGUUCGGUGAUUGGGAUAUCACUGGCGAAAACGGCGCCUUAAAGAACGCACGUAUCGGUCUAGUACUCACAUUGUUAUAGGCAUGUAUGGUUCGGUGACUGAGGGUGUCACUGGCGAAAACGGCGCCUUAAAGAACGCAUACACUUGUCUAUUAAACACAUUGUUAUAGGCAUGUGUGGUUCGGUGAUUAUGGAACUCACUGGCGAAAACGGCGCCUUAAAGAACGCACACAAUUGUCUAGUGAGUACAUGGUUAUAGGCAUGCGUGGUUCGGUGAUAAGGACAUCACUGGCGAAAACGGCGCCUUAAAGAACGCACGCAAUUGUCUAUUGAUAAAAUCAUUGUAGGCAUGUGUGGUUCGGUGAUUUGGGAUAUCACUGGC